UUCCCUUGUCUAGUAAGAGCGGAAGCGCCCCCGGGGCAGGCUGGGAGAUGUAGUUCCUGAUUCUCACUGGACAGGAAGUGACGUUGAGCGGGAGAGAAGACGCUGAGUUGCAAACGUGCGCGGGCUGCUGCGGCUCUGCCUCGCUCGCGCGGGGCCGGAGAAGAGUUUUGUGUCUCCCGGCUCUGGGCAUGCGCAGAUCAGGGAGGAGGGAAGUCCCGCGUGCGUAGAGGCCGCGUGUCCCGCUGCUGGUGCCUGGGGCCGGGGCCGGGCGGAGCAGGAGAGUUUGUGCCGGUAUGUGACUGAGAUCAAAGAUCUUAUCGUACUGAGCGUGGCUCUGUUCUGACAACUGCUGCAGAGACCCCAACUGAAAUCUGGGCCCUGUUUUGCCAGGCACUGAAGCGACCCCAGGUGAGAUCAGACCCCACUGUUGUGCCAGGCUACAGAUUAACAUCCACAUUUUGCUCCAGAUCAUCCCAUCUUCCCAGGGGGAAGGAAAUGGCUGCAACGGAGCUGGCUCAGGAGCCGGUGACUUUCGAGG